CAGUGGCGAACGGGUGAGUAACACGUGGGCAAUCUGCCCUGCACUCUGGGACAAGCCCUGGAAACGGGGUCUAAUACCGGAUACGACCUGCUCCUGCAUGGGAGCGGGUGGAAAGCUCCGGCGGUGCAGGAUGAGCCCGCGGCCUAUCAGCUUGUUGGUGGGGUAAUGGCCUACCAAGGCGACGACGGGUAGCCGGCCUGAGAGGGCGACCGGCCACACUGGGACUGAGACACGGCCCAGACUCCUACGGGAGGCAGCAGUGGGGAAUAUUGCACAAUGGGCGAAAGCCUGAUGCAGCGACGCCGCGUGAGGGAUGACGGCCUUCGGGUUGUAAACCUCUUUCAGCAGGGAAGAAGCGAAAGUGACGGUACCUGCAGAAGAAGCACCGGCUAACUACGUGCCAGCAGCCGCGGUAAUACGUAGGGUGCGAGCGUUGUCCGGAAUUAUUGGGCGUAAAGAGCUCGUAGGCGGCCUGUCGCGUCGGUUGUGAAAGCCCGGGGCUUAACCCCGGGUCUGCAGUCGAUACGGGCAGGCUAGAGUUCGGUAGGGGAGAUCGGAAUUCCU
rnacentral:rRNA from 1 species